AACUUUCAACAACGGAUCUCUUGGUUCUCGCAUCGAUGAAGAACGCAGCGAAUUGCGAUACGUAGUAUGACUUGCAGACGUGAAUCAUCGAAUCUUUGAACGCACAUUGCGCCUCGAGGCAUUCCUCGAGGCAUGCCUGUUUGAGCGUCGCAUCCCCU
rnacentral:rRNA from 1 species